UAAACUGCUGUUGUCACUUGUGUGCAAAGAUUGGUUCUACAAUUUAAUUUAUUGGAACACGCCAAGGGUUGUGCUUGUGCCUUAAGACUUACAAAACUACAUAACAGUCAUUUUCGUGCAUGCAAUAAUCUCAAGCAGUAGAAUUUUAACAUUGAAAAAUGCUAAUCUACUCUAAAUCCUAAAUUAUGAACUGUCAAUUUCAAGUUCCAAAUCAUAACAUCUAAAUUCUAAACCCGAAUCAAUCAAUCUGAACAAAAUCUAAUACUGGGAUUUGGGAAGCACAAAAGACACGUGAUGAAAGGGAUUUAUCCAACAAUCCACGUGGUAAAGUGGUAACCAAUAUUUAAGACAGACACCCUAUAAAAAAAAAAGGACUUGUUUUUGUUUCUAUGUUAGCCUGUGUGGCGGCGCACCAAAAGCAAGCAAGCAAAGCGAAGCAACAACAACAACAAACACAAAUUAAGUUUCAGAGCCAUGAACAUGAAGCAUAGUGAUGAGAGGCAUAUGAAUAAUGUGAUGAUGAGCGGCAUUAACCCUUUGUUUAGGACAGAAUCUUUUGGCCAUUACAACACUUACCCUGAUGAACAGAGAGAGAAGAGGCAACUUUACCUGAGAAGCUACCAAUUCUGCCGCAAGAAGAACCUCAGUGAUAGAAUCAAAGGGUCUUUGGUGCGUGUCAAGAAGGUGGUGUGCCUCAGGCUUAGGUCUGCUAAGAAGUUUAGGAAGUUGGUUUUCUCAAGAAUCAGAAUCAAAUGCGGUUUCUAUUAUCGUAGGAAGAGAUCCUCUCGUCUUCUCAGUAAUUUCCACCACACCCGAAGCACCACCACAGUUCAUGAUUCUUCAUCAUCUUCCUGUUUGUGGUAGCUAUUCAUCAUCAUCAUCAUCAUCACAAACUUCAUUCUACUAUGCCACCUGUUUAACUAUUAUUUCAUCAGUUUUCUUGUAAGAUUCUAUCUAUCAGUCCUUAGCUAUAUUGUACAAAUUAUUAUUAUUUAUAAAUUUUUAUUAAUCUUACAAUGAGGGUACGAUAUAUUAUCCCUUGA